rnacentral:misc_RNA from 1 species
AUGAUUGGCCUGAAAAUCGUAGACGAACUGCUCAACAAAUCCUUCUACAAGCUGGGACUUGUGGUGGGCAAACAUCCCGGUUACUUCCUCAUAAUCCCCGUGAUGAUCACCAUUCUAGGAAUGACGGGAUAUCAAAGGAUGCACAACAACAUUGAUCCAGAGUACUUGUUCAGUCCCAUUAAUGGAGAAGGAAAAAUUGAAAGAGCCAUAGUGGAAAAUUAUUUUAAAGUCAAUUAUACGAGUAGGUUUGACGUGGCAAGGAUAACAAGAGCAGGUAGAUUUGGCAGAGUUAUUAUCACGUCCAAAGAUGGAAACAAGAAUAUGUUGAGAGUCGAAGUCUGGAAAGAAAUUAGAAUGUUAGACGAGCUAAUACAAAACAUGACCGUCAUUUACGAAAACGAAUAUUUUACUUAUAACGACAUUUGUGCGAAGUGGAUGACGGAAUGCUUCCAAAACGAUAUUUUAAAUUUGGACUACAUUAUGGAGGACGUAGAAAACCAUAACAUCAAUCUGACGUUUCCGUUGAUGAUCAACCCAGUAACCUGGGAUACUCACAUCCUUCCAAUUUUCUUCGGUGGAACAGAAGUAAGCGAGGAUGGUAUCAUUAUCAGCGUGCCCUCAGUUCAGUUGGUGUAUUUCGGAAAUGCCGAUAGUAGGAAAAUUGAUACAUUAGGUGCAGCUUGGGAAGACGCUUUUCUCAACCUAAUCGAACAAAUCCAGGAUAAAGAGAACAGAUUCGAGCAUAUCAGGAUAGCCAGAUUCGCUUCGAGAACACUGGAUCACGAGCUGGAGAAAAACACUCACUCGGUGAUUCCCUACUUCACAUCGACAUUCGUCAUUAUGGCUGUAUUCUCCAUAAUUACGUGUAUGAUGUCUGAUUGGGUCAGAUCGAAACCUUGGUUGGGAUUGUUGGGAAAUUUGAGCGCUGCUAUGGCCACUCUAGGAGCGUUUGGAUUUUGUAUGUAUGCUGGUGUGGACUUUAUUGGUAUCAAUUUGGCAGCGCCCUUUUUAAUGAUUGGAAUAGGAAUUGACGAUACUUUCGUUAUGUUGGCGGCUUGGAGAAGAACGUCCAUCAAAACAUCAGUUCCAGAACGAAUGGCUCAAAUGUUAAGCGAAGCUGCUGUUUCAAUCACAAUUACGUCAGUCACGGAUUUCUUCAGUUUUUGGAUCGGUAUUUUCAGUCCAUUUCCAUCUGUUACCAUCUUCUGCAUAUAUUCAGGUGCAGCAACUGUAUUUCUUUUCAUCUGGCAUUUAACGUUCUUCGCGGCUUGCGUAGCUAUAUCUGGAUAUUGCGAACAAAAGAACUUACACUCGAUAUUUUGCUUCAAGGUCCAGCCCUUAUCAAAAUCACAAAACAGAUGUUUUUUGUACAGAAUAUUUUGCAGUGGCGGUGUUGAUCCAGAUGACAUGGACAAUCCCAAAGAUAAUCAAGAACAUGGAAUGAUGGUAUUUUUCAGAGACUACUUUUCAGUAUUCUUAAACAAUGGUUGUGUUAAAGUUAUGGUUAUCCUGAUUUUUGCCGUUUAUCUUGCUGGCGCCGGAUAUGGUAUUACGCAAAUAGAAGAAGGUCUGGAACGGAGAAAAGUUGCGAAGAACGAUUCAUAUGCAAUAGAAUUCUUUGACAGAGAAGACGAUUACUACAGAGAGUUUCCCUAUAGAGUUCAAGUUAUAGUAUCCGGUGAGUACGAUUACUCGGACCCAAAAAUUCAAAAAGAGGUGGAAAAAUUAACGCAAACGUUCGAAAACACUUCCUAUAUUUCCGCUCUCCUUACCGAUUCCUGGUUAAGAAGCUUUUUACAAUACAUCGACAGGAACAAAGAUUAUUUGAAUAUUUCGAUAAAGACUCAAAAGGAAUUCAGUACGGAAUUAAAAGAGCUGUGGCUUGCGCCCUCAAGUCCAUAUUCCCUGGACGUUAAAUUUGACGAAAAGGAAGAAAAUAUAAUCGCAAUGAGAUUCUUAAUACAGGCAGUGAACAUAUCCGGAACAGAACACGAGAAAGAAAUGGUCAGGGCCUUAAGAAAAAUCUGUAAAGAUUCACCAUUGAAUGCUACAGUAUUCCAUCCAUAUUUCGUGUUCUUCGAUCAGUUUGAAUUAGUCCGACCACUAUCCAUUCAAAACAUCAUCAUAGGCGGCGCUGUUAUGAUGCUGGUCUCGUUCAUCUUUAUACCAAACAUCUUCUGCGCAUUCUGGGUGGCCUUCAGCAUCAUCUCCAUUGAAGCAGGAGUGGUCGGUUAUAUGGCCCUAUGGGGCGUAAAUCUCGAUUCGAUCUCCAUGAUCAACUUGAUCAUGUGCAUCGGAUUCAGCGUUGAUUUCACUGCCCACAUUUGUUAUGCCUACAUGUCGUCGCCAGCCAAGAAAGCCAAAGACAAAAUGAGCGAAGCUUUAUACGCUUUAGGAUUGCCAAUAUUUCAAGGAUCGGUCAGUACUAUACUUGGCAUGAUAGCCCUCAUCUUAGCCCAAAACUACAUAUUCUCCGUCUUCUUCAAGAUGAUCUUCUUAGUAGUAUUCUUAGGAGCGAUGCACGGUCUCUUCCUCUUGCCAGUUCUCUUGUCGCUCUUCGGCCCAGGGUCUUGUACAGGUCACGACGACGACGACGAAGACGUGAAGCUAUCAAGCAUAGAAAAGUCCUUGCCUCAUCCCUACUGUAUACCACAUCCACAAUUCACGCUCAACGGCAGCAACUUAAGCAGUAAUUUGCGCAACACCAGCUUAACACCCAUAGAAAGAUACAACAACAAACCAUUCAAAAGUUUCGGUGAUUUGGAUAAAGAUCUGGGUUUGGGAACGUCAGAAGAAAACUCAAGUGAAUCUUCGACGCAUUCGAAUAAAAAACCAGAUAUGCCACAAGAAAUAGAAAGGAAAUAUAGAGACGCCUUGCGCAGAAAAUCCGAAGCACACUUGUACCAAUACAAAAGUCCUCAUAUAGAUAUCUACGGAACGGAGAUGUACAGAUCACAAGAGGAUUUAGAGAGACCAAGUGGAGGUUACAGAUCAGAAGAACCAAAGAUCAGGUACGAAAGAAGAAGGUAUUCACCGCCAGAACAAAGGAAUCAUCCGUCUAAUGGGGGUCUAAUGAGAUCUCAUUCGCAUCACGGAGCUGUGUUUCCUAGAUAUCUCAAAGAAUCGCGGUUUCCAUGAUGGUGCGUGAAAAAUAGUUAGAACUAAAACGGUUUAGUGCUGAAUGUGUGAACUUUUGUGAAUUUGUUUUAGAAUGAGUUGACUUUUAUAAAUAAUUUGACUAAAUAACAGUACAUAUAAAGGUGAGAGUAAGCUAAGCGAAUAUUGAGGAGGAAAGGUUCAUCAUAUCUGCUCUAGUUAUGAACAGAAUUUGGAAGUGCUAAUAGAGCUACAAAUUAAAGAAUGAUCAAAGAAGGGACAAAAAAAUUUCGACUUUGUAUGGAUAGCAUAAUUUUGUGUGUACAUAGCAUAACUGUUAGUAUUGUCUAGGUUUUGAGUUCAUUGUAGAUUACUCAUGAUGCAAUAUUGUAACGAAAAGAUAUAAGUAGUAAAAAAUCACAUUCAUAAUGUUGAUAUGCUUUUAGUAAGAUUGUGUAAUCUACAGAUAAACUACUGAAAUGUCUACUUAGUUUGUUCCCAUCUUUUGUAUAACAUCACUAAGAAAGAUGAAAUAUUAGGUGAUAUUUAGGUUAAGAUUUAAUUUUUUAAUUUGUAUAGACUAUAGAACAAUUAGUUUAGACAAGAUUUAGUUGAAAAAGGAUUUAGCGGGCAUACUGUAAAAUAUUUUGCCUUGAAAACUUGUUUUAAAGAUAUACUAGUCAUGCUUUCACAACCACUAAUCCAAGUAGAAAAUCUCAUCUGAUUAUAUAUUUGCCGUCGUUACUGUAAUGUUUAAGUUAAAUCACAGUACCAACAGAGUAUAACAAAUCAACGAGGAGCGUCACUUCGGUUCCGAAAUUUACAAGCGCAUGCGCGAAAUAGACAGGAUCAACGUUAACAUAGGAUACCAAUCAGCCGGCUGAAUUUAGUCAGGUAGCAAAGACAAUAAAAUAUGAUAUUGACAUUUGAGUGCGAAACGUGUUAAUUGUUGUUUGCUGUGUUUUUAAUAAUUAUUAUUAAUAAUGCCAGGAACGUGUUGUGCGUAUCGCCCUUGUUUAACAAGACCAGGAGAUAAGAU